rnacentral:miRNA from 1 species
GGAGGAUCUCUUGAGCCCAGGAGUUAGGGGUUGCUGUGAGCUAUGAUCACACCACUGCACUCCAGCCUGAGUGACAGAGCAAGACUCUGUCUC